UGGCUCAGGACGAACGCUGGCGGCGUGCCUAACACAUGCAAGUCGAACGGAACUUAGUUGAAGGAAUUCUUCGGAAGGACAUUGGUUAAGUUUAGUGGCGACGGGUGAGUAACGCGUGAGUAACCUGCCUCCGAGAGGGGAAUAACAAUCUGAAAAGAUUGCUAAUACCGCAUAACAUAGCGAAGUCGCAUGGCAGCGCUAUCAAAGAUUUAUCGCUCGGAGAUGGACUCGCGUCCGAUUAGUUAGUUGGUGAGGUAACGGCUCACCAAGACCGCGAUCGGUAGCCGGACUGAGAGGUUGAACGGCCACAUUGGGACUGAGACACGGCCCAGGCUCCUACGGGAGGCAGCAGUGGGGGAUAUUGCGCAAUGGGGGAAACCCUGACGCAGCAACGCCGCGUGAAGGAUGAAGGUUUUCGGAUUGUAAACUUCUUUUAUUAAGGACGAAAAAAUGACGGUACUUAAUGAAUAAGCUCCGGCUAACUACGUG
rnacentral:rRNA from 1 species